UACCAGCACCCCGAGUGGUCGGGACGAUUAUUGGGCCUAAAGCAUCCGUAGCCGGCCUUACAAGGUCCUCCGUUAAAUCCAGCUGCUUAACAGAUGGGCUGCGGAGGAUACUAUAAGACUAGGAGGCAGGAGAGGCAAGCGGUACUCAGUGGGUAGGGGUAAAAUCCGUUGAUCCAUUGAAGACCACCAGUGGCGAAGGCGGCUUGCCAGAAUGCGCUCGACGGUGAGGGAUGAAAGCUGGGGGAGCAAACCGG
rnacentral:rRNA from 1 species